rnacentral:rRNA from 1 species
GAUGAACGCUGGCGGCGUGCUUAACACAUGCAAGUCGAACGGGAAACCUUUUAUUGAAGCUUCGGCAGAUUUAACUGGUUUCUAGUGGCGGACGGGUGAGUAACGCGUGGGUAACCUGCCUUGUACAGGGGGAUAACAGUCAGAAAUGACUGCUAAUACCGCAUAAGCGCACAGGACCGCAUGGUCCGGUGUGAAAAACUCCGGUGGUAUAAGAUGGACCCGCGUUGGAUUAGCUAGUUGGCAGGGUAACGGCCUACCAAGGCAACGAUCCAUAGCCGGCCUGAGAGGGUGAACGGCCACAUUGGGACUGAGACACGGCCCAGACUCCUACGGGAGGCAGCAGUGGGGAAUAUUGCACAAUGGGGGAAACCCUGAUGCAGCGACGCCGCGUGAAGGAAGAAGUAUCUCGGUAUGUAAACUUCUAUCAGCA